UACGUAGGUGGCGAGCGUUGUCCGGAUUUACUGGGCGUAAAGCGCGCGCAGGCGGUUCGUUAAGUCUGGUGUGAAAGCUCCCGGCUCAACUGGGAGAGGUCAUCGGAUACUGGCGGACUCGAGGGAUGCAGAGGAAGGUGGAAUUCCCGGUGUAGUGGUGAAAUGCGUAGAGAUCGGGAGGAACACCAGUGGCGAAGGCGGCCUUCUGGGCAUUUCCUGACGCUGAGACGCGAAAGCGUGGGGAGCGAACAGG
rnacentral:rRNA from 1 species